UGUGUCUCGAGAAAAAGGACUCUAGAGUCUAGACAAAUGUGUUGCAGUUUCAUUUUGUGACCGACACUAACGGGUAUUUGUUCACUUUAUCCAAGCACUGCAUUACUCGUUUCUGCGAUCACAAAUUCUGAAAUUGCAAUGAAAAUCAACAACAACAACAAGAGGAAUAGAAACUACAGACAGUAAAGUGAUAUGAUACGAGUGCGACGAGGGUCAAUGUGAGUUCAGUGAUGUGGCAAAUGUGUAUAGUGUGAGAUAUUUUCACAUCAUAUUGCAUGGGGAUAGAGAACUUGGAAUUAGUUGAUGUACCAUAUAUAAUUUCUUCUUUAUAUGACAGUAGUGUUAUAAAAGCACACCUCGUUGGAUGCGUCACUUGCACAGUGGUUUUAGUAA